GGGCACACACAGAAAAUUGCUUUUCAAGAUGACAAUAUAUGAAGAAAGAGGCAAAACCAGAAAAACAAAAAAUGGGAUUUUUAUUUCUAAUAAUAUCAUAAAUAACCGUAAAUUUUGCACAAACUUUAAGGUUGUAAAGCUGUUUGUGAAGUUAACCUAGGUUUUUUCAACCAUGAAUUGUCUUAUUUUAUCAGACAAAGCUGUGAAUGACCGAAAUAGC
rnacentral:lncRNA from 1 species